GCUCUUGAUUUAGAAAUAAAAUGGAGUAUAAUCGUGUGUUUGACCCUUCGUCUCAUCAUAUUCCAUGUAUUUUACUUUUAAGUGGUUGAUGGCGUUUAUAACGGUGAAGGGAAAACGAUAGUGAUCGUUAUUAUAAAUUCAUUGUUACAUAACGUAAACGGGUAGAAAGAGGAUGAGGGAAAAAAUCAAAGAAUCCAUUUCCUUUCGGAUCUUGAAAGAAUUUGUCAAGCAAUGAUGUCAUUCAUUUUUUAGUUAUGGCUUUUUCUUCUAUAUUAAAGUAUUAUAUCGGUACUUUUUUACAAGUGGAACAAAGUUUGCCGCUUUAAUGGACUUUUCAAUUAUGGUUUAUGAUUACGUAGCCUUCCAUAGGGAGAAAGGUAUACAUAAUAAGUGUUGCGGUGGAAAGUUUUGGUGCAUCAAGGAUAUUUGUGGAAUUAUAUGUGCGGUCCUGACAUGGUUGCUAAUAAUUUAUGCGGAAUUUGUAGUUAUGGCUGUUAUCCUUAUUCCUUCUAUAAAUACUUUAUAUUCAGGCCUAAACAUGGCAGUGUUUCAAUCCUUAGCAUUUUUGGCAUUUGCUUCUCAUUUAAGGACAAUGUUUACAGAUCCAGGUGCUGUACCAAAGGGCAAUGCGACAAAAAAAAUGAUACAACAAAUGGGAUUCCGGGAAGGUCAAGUUAUCUUUAAAUGUCCAAAAUGUUGUUCUAUAAAGCCGGAUAGAGCUCAUCAUUGUUCGGUUUGUCAAAGAUGUAUUAGGAAAAUGGAUCAUCAUUGCCCAUGGGUUAACAACUGUGUCGGCGAAAAUAAUCAAAAAUACUUUGUAUUGUUUACUUUUUACAUAGCAGGUAUAUCCCUACAGUCUCUUCUUUUGUGCAUACAACAAUUUACAACGUGCGUGAGACAAGAAUGGAGAGAAUGUUCGACGUUUAGUCCACCUGCGACCGUUGUCCUUUUACUAUUUCUAGCAUUCGAAGCACUUUUAUUUGCCAUUUUUACAGCUGUAAUGUUGGGAUCGCAACUGCAGGCUAUUUGGAAUGAUGAAACUGGUAUAGAACAACUUAAAAAAGAAGAAGCACGAUGGGUUCGUAAUAGCAGAUGGAAAUCCAUACAGGCCGUUUUUGGUAGAUUUUCUAUUGCUUGGUUUUCUCCCUUCACUUCGCCUCCGAAUGCAAAAAAGAAGUUAGAUGCCUAUUUAUAUACUGUAUAGGUUAUUUGGAUAUGUGAUUGUGACACAAAUAUUUAAUACAUGUAAAUAUAAGGUGAACAAGACGGAAAUGAUAAUAUAUAGAUAAUGAUAAUGUUCGAACAUUAUUCGAAGGACUGGUUGCAAAAAUGGUACAUGUACACUAUAUUUAUAUUUGAUUCAAAAUUGUUUACAAUCGUUUAUUAAUAACUAGAACGAAGAAAUGAUCUCUGUACCGUACAAAAGACUGAAACAUAGUGCUAAUAUCGCUCGAACAUAUGUAACACUUAAGCGAGUGGUUAAAUCUGUAUAAUCCCUGCAGAUCUGUACUUUAAUAAUCUUCUUAAGAAUGUAUAGUUUAUAUAGAUUUGUUUUUUAGAAUCAAUUUUAUAAAGUAUAAAUCCAUACGAUCUAAUUAAAUAUUUUUCUUUUUAGUUAUCACGUACCUUAUUUAUGGCAAUUUAAAAUUCGCAUCACCAUUCUUGCAUCCAGUUUCGUUAAUUAUACUUUAUUAACUUAAUUAUUAUUAUUAUUAUUAUUAUUAUCAUCCAAUGUACACGACAAGUAAUAUUUAUUAGCGACAUCAUGGUAGAGAGAUAUUUUCAUAUAUUAAUUUUAUAUAUCCUCAAAUGCACCCUUUAGGACAAGAAGAAAAAAAAAUGAAAAUUCGAUGCACUUUGUAUACGCUAUAUCUUAUUUAUAUUUUGAUGUAAUAGGUCAUAUUUUAAGCAAUAUUAUAGAUAUGCAAAAAACGUA